rnacentral:rRNA from 1 species
AUUGAACGCUGGCGGCAGGCCUAACACAUGCAAGUCGAGCGGAUGAAGGGAGCUUGCUCCUGGAUUCAGCGGCGGACGGGUGAGUAAUGCCUAGGAAUCUGCCUGGUAGUGGGGGAUAACGUCCGGAAACGGGCGCUAAUACCGCAUACGUCCUGAGGGAGAAAGUGGGGGAUCUUCGGACCUCACGCUAUCAGAUGAGCCUAGGUCGGAUUAGCUAGUUGGUGGGGUAAAGGCCUACCAAGGCGACGAUCCGUAACUGGUCUGAGAGGAUGAUCAGUCACACUGAAACUGGGACACGUUCCAGACUCCUACGGGAGGCGGCGGUGGGAAUUAUUGACAAUGGGCGAAAGCCUGAUCCAGCCAUGCCGCGUGUGUGAAGAAGGUCUUCGGAUUGUAAAGCACUUUAAGUUGGGAGGAAGGGCAGUAAGUUAAUACCUUGCUGUUUUGACGUUACCAACAGAAUAAGCACCGGCUAACUUCGUG